AUUUAAGUAGUUUAUAAAAAUAUUGAUUUGUGGUGUCAAUGAUGCAAAUUUAUUGCCUUAGAUC
rnacentral:tRNA from 1 species